AGGACGAACGCUGGCGGCGUGCCUAACACAUGCAAGUCGAGCGAGAAUCUUAUGAAUGAUCCUUCGGGUGAAUGAUUAAGAGGAGAGCGGCGGACGGGUGAGUAACGCGUGAGUAAUCUGCCUUAAGGAGGGGGAUAACACAGAGAAAUCUGUGCUAAUACCGCAUAACAUAUCUUUACCGCAUGAUAGAGAUAUCAAAACUGAGGUGCCUUAAGAUGAGCUCGCGUCCGAUUAACUAGUUGGUGAGGUAAUGGGCUCACCAAGGUAACGAUGCGUAGCCGAGCUGAGAGGCUAAUCGGCCACAUUGGGACUGAGAUACGGCCCAGACUCCUACGGGAGGCAGCAGUGGGGAAUAUUGGGCAAUGGGGGAAACCCUGACCCAGCAACGCCGCGUGAAGGAAGAAGGCCUUCGGGUUGUAAACUUCUUUUAGCAGGGACGAAGAACGUGACGGUACCUGCAGAAAAAGCAACGGCUAACUACGUG
rnacentral:rRNA from 1 species